CCUUAAAUGGGGGAGGAAAAACCAUUAAAAGUGGGAGACAUCAUUCGAAAGUUUUCGAGUCAGUCGGAUUUGACCACGGACAGCAAACCUCAAACUACACAGUACAGGAAAAAUCCAUCGGCUCAUGAAUCUCCUGCACAGACGUCUCAAGUGUAUGUAUGUUCUUUGCUUUGUUUAAUCUUGAACCAGCCACGGUAGCCUCGC